GCUAUAGAUAUGUAAUUAUAUGUACAUUUGAUAUGCAUAACUUGUCAGUUUCAUUUCUUUUGAUAUCAUCAUAGUUGGAGAAAUCUGUGUAAUUCAAGUAAUGGCUCUAAAGAUUGUUUUGUUUACCCUUGCUGUAAUUUUCGCUUACUUGAAUCUUGUAAGUUCAGAAGGAACAUGUACGACGACAUUUGAGGGAAAAGAAGUGGAGAUUACACAAGGUGAUACAGUAUGGCUGAACCCCUGCCUUUUUUGUUGGUGCUAUGAAAACUCUCAGGAAGCAGGAUGUAAUACUGUAGACUGUCCGACAUGGAGUUGUGACGACGGCCUCGAACUGACAUACCUGGACGGAAAAUGUUGUCCAUCUUGUCUACCAACUGAUCAAUGAUAAUAUUUAAAAUUGUUUAUGUUAUAAUUGAUGAGACAUCAUGAAUGCAUGAGUUUGCAUUAAAAUAUUUAACAUUGUUUCACUUUCAAUAAAAUACUAUCAUGAAUGAA